UAUUAAUUAUAAAAAUUUUUAAUAAAUUAAAAAGGGUUUUAAAUUAAUAAAAAGGUUAUUUUAAAAAAAAUUUUUAUAAAUAAAUUUUACCUUUUGCAUAAUGGUUAAAUUAUAAUAUUUUAAAUUUUUAUAGUCCCGAAAAAAAAUGAUCAAUAAAAUAUAAAAAUUUAUCUUAGAAAAAAGAAAGAUUGUAGUAUAAAUCUAUAAAAAUUUUACUAUAGGAGUGAAAGGCUUAUUCAAAUUUUUUUAUAUCUGGAUUAAAGGGAAAUGUAUUUAGUACAAAAAAUUAUAAAUAAAUAGUGAUAAGAUUAUUUAUAGUUAAGAAAAAUUAAAUAAUAUUAAUAACAAAAAAUUAUAUAAUAGAUUUAAAAUUUAUGAAAAACAUAAAAAUUACUGUGAAAAAUUUUCUUUUAUUAUACCUUUUUAUUUUAAUAAAUUUUUUUUGAAAAUAAUUAUGUUUAAAUAAGUAUAAAUUUUAUAAUAAAAAACUUAUAAGGAACUCGGCAAAAUUUUAUUAUUUUUAACUGUUUAACAAAAACAUAGCUUGUUGAAUUUAAAUAAUAAGUUAUUUCUGCCCUGUGAUUUUAAAAUAAAUUUUAACGGCCGCAGUACUUUGACUGUGCAAAGGUAGCAAAAUAAAUAGGCUUUUAAUUGAAGUCGAGAAUGAAAGGAAAAAUUAAAAUAAACUGUCUUAAAAGUUUUUUUUAAAAAUUGCUAAUAUGGUGAAAAUUCCAUAAUAAAAUUUUAAUAGACGAGAAGACCCUAUGAAUUAUUAUUAAAAAUUUUUAUAAAAUUUUAAAUUUUUGUUGGGGCAACAGGAAAAAAGAGAAAAAAUUUUCUAUUAUUAUAAUUUUAUAUUUGAAGUUCUUACUAUAAAUGAAUUUAAUUACCUUAGGGAUAACAGCAUAAUUAUUUUUAUAGAUUAUGACCUCGAUGUUGGACUAAGAAAUAAUAUAAUUAACAAUUAUAUUAUAAGGUUCUGUUCGAACCAAAUUUUCUUACAUGAUCUGAGUUCAGACCGGCGUAAGCCAGGUCAGUUUCUAUCUUUUAAUAAUGUUUUUAUUAGUACGAAAGGACCAUAAUAACAAAAUAAAAAGUUUUUUUAGUUUAGCAAAAAAAUGCAAGUGAUUUAGAGUCAAAAGAUAACUUUUAAAAAGUAAU
rnacentral:rRNA from 1 species